rnacentral:rRNA from 1 species
ACGGGUGAGUAACACGUAAGGAACCUGCCUCAAGGAUUGGGAUAACUCCGAGAAAUCGGAGCUAAUACCGGAUAGUUCAUCGGACCGCAUGGUCCGUUGAUGAAAGGCGCUCCGGCGUCACCUUGAGAUGGCCUUGCGGUGCAUUAGCUAGUUGGUGGGGUAACGGCCCACCAAGGCGACGAUGCAUAGCCGACCUGAGAGGGUGAUCGGCCACACUGGGACUGAGACACGGCCCAGACUCCUACGGGAGGCAGCAGUAGGGAAUCUUCCACAAUGGACGAAAGUCUGAUGGAGCAACGCCGCGUGAGUGAUGAAGGUUUUCGGAUCGUAAAACUCUGUUGUAAGGGAAGAACACGUACGAGAGGGAAUGCUCGUACCUUGACGGUACCUUACGAGAAAGCCACGGCUAACUACGUGCCAGCAGCCGCGGUAAUACGUAGGUGGCAAGCGUUGUCCGGAAUUAUUGGGCGUAAAGCGCGCGCAGGCGGCCUUUUAAGUCUGAUGUGAAAGCCCCCGGCUCAACCGGGGAGGGCCAUUGGAAACUGGAAGGCUUGAGUACAGAAGAGA